GAAAUUCUCAAAGCAAGUCUUUUGUUAAUUCAAUUGGCUCUGCUUUGGACUUGGGGGCUUGCAGAUUCACGUCUGCUCCUCUUAAAUAUAUUAGCUGGAUCUCCCUGAACUUGGUUCCACUCGGCGUGAUAAGUAUCACUCGCUGAGGACACCCGUAAAAAAGGUGGCCAGGCUUGAGGAUGAGCCGCUUCUAAUAGUCCAUUAGCUUGGACAAUUUAUUUAUGAUCUGAUCUCAAAUCAGGUAGGACUACCCGCUGAACUUAA
rnacentral:misc_RNA from 1 species